AUUGAACGCUGGCGGCGUGCUUAACACAUGCAAGUCGAUCGGUAACGCGGGGGCAACCCUGGCGACGAGAGGCGGACGGGUGAGGAACGCUUGGGAAUCUGCCUAUCAGCGGGGGACAACCCGGGGAAACUCGGGCUAAUACCGCAUACGCUCUACGGAGGAAAGCCGGGGACCGCAAGGCCUGGCACUGAUAGAUGAGCUCAAGUCGGAUUAGCUAGUUGGCGGGGUAACGGCCCACCAAGGCGACGAUCCGUAGCUGGUCUGAGAGGACGAUCAGCCACACUGGGACUGAGACACGGCCCAGACUCCUACGGGAGGCAGCAGUGGGGAAUAUUGGACAAUGGGGGAAACCCUGAUCCAGCGACGCCGCGUGGGUGAAGAAGGCCUGCGGGUUGUAAAGCCCUUUCGGUAGGGACGAAAGCUCUCGACCUAACACGUCGGGAGGUUGACUUAACCUACAAAAGAAGCACCGGCUAACUCUGUGCCAGCCGCCGCAGUAACAC
rnacentral:rRNA from 1 species